UGCUAAGACCUUUCUUUAAGCUUCACACGUG
rnacentral:piRNA from 1 species